AGCCUAACUGUUGAACUUUAUUUUUUCUUUUCCUAAAAGGGCAUGUACCAAGCAAAAUACUGCACUGUCAGCAAUCAGGACACAAAGCGCCGUGGUAUGCAAAACAGGAUUUACUAGACACAUAUUUACUUAUGUUGAAGGAGAAGGAAGGGGCGAUAUUGGAAACAGG
rnacentral:lncRNA from 1 species